AGCCCUCAUCUCUCAUAAUCAUAAUCCUAUUUCCGACCGUUUUCUAUAAGCUUCCCAAUUUUUGAACUCUUUCUGCUCCAUGUUAACAAAGAACUCUCUAAUUGUACCGCAAAUAUUCGGGUCGGUUGAGUUCAUCAUUUUUUUUAAUCAUUGGGCU